AGUAGGUAGAGGAAGUGACAUCAUCACAUGACGCAUGACCAACCUCCUCUGAUCUGACUCAGCAGAGCUCUAAUAUCUAUGUAGAAAUCUUCACCCACACAAGUACCACACCCCUUGGUUGGCAGAAAGCUACAUCGAAGGAAUGGAGACAUAGGGGAAAAUUCCAAAAAUAAGAAGGAAAGAAGUUGCUUAUAGUAGCAAAGAGGCUCCUCACUGAUUCAUAGCAAAAGUAGCAGCUCUAACUUCAAGCAUAGAUGUAAAAACAACUGUGCAUUUGCUUUUUUAUGCUUUCUACUAUUUGUUUGUACUGCAUUCUGCCAACCAGGGGAGUGGCUUUAGUCAGGCUCCACCUUAGCUAAUGUAGCUUCGGGCCUUUGAUCUGAAGGUGAGAGGUAACGCGCUGGUUAUAUUGUAUAAAAGUUCAAAGCAUUAUAGGAUGGAAUUUGGGGUAGCCAUUUUUAAUGUUUUUAUUUACUUGCGUAAUAGAUUUUUGCAUGAUGAUAACAAUUAAUUUAUUUGUACUUUAAAAUUAACACGAGACACCGUUGGUGCAUAGGCCUCGCCAAAACAAAGAUAAUCAUAAUUUGUUUUACACAUACGAUUUUAAAACUAUAUUUUGUCCUGCAUAUUACCACUGAAUUAAAAGUAACUUGCUUAGAUAGUGUUCACUGUUAGCUAUAGUUUUGAUUGAAUUCUUCAUAGUCUAAUUAAAAUUUGAGGGUGUUUGGGUGUGGCUGCAAACUGACAGCAUGUUGGCUUUGGCGGAUUAUGCCAGCACAAUUUUGAGCAUAAUAGAGCCCAAAAGCAUGAGCAUAAUGUGAGCAUAAUAGGGCUAUGAUAGAAAAUUUUGAAAAAAUUUAUUGAGAAUUGCAAUAAAAAGGCCCUUGCACUCAAUAAAUUAACUGUUUUUAAACAGCUACUAUUGCUCACAAUACUCAAGGACUUAUAAUGAAAUUCAUGGGCAUAAUUGGGAGCAUAAUGGCUGGUUGAUAGAGCAUAAGCUGUUUCCUGAGAAUUGCAGCAUAGCAUAAUAGAGCAAUUUUAGAGCAUAAUCCGCCAAACCCUAACAGCAUGGCAGUUGUUACAGUACAGAGAAAGUGUCAAAUCUUGAUUGCUAGAGAGUAAAAUGGUGUCAUUUAUCUUCUUGAUUAUUGUAGGCUGAUUCGGGUGAUGUUAGGCUUGAAACAGCUGAGAGUCAGAUAAAAUUACAGAAGACCAAACAUGAACUGGAAACUGCUGCCUUGGAGGAGACCAUUAAAGAAAAGGACUGCGAAAUCUGUGUAUUACAAGAGAAAUUCGAAACUUUAGAAAGAGAACUAGACAAAAGCAAACAUGAACUAUUGCUACUCAAAGAAGACAAAAAACAACUGCAAGACGAUCUCAAGGAAGCUAAUAAGAAAAUCGAAGAAAAUACUCAAAUCUUUUACCAUUUGCAUGAUUUAAUUCAUAAAAUUUCUAGCAAAAAAA